AUUGAACGCUGGCGGCAGGCUUAACACAUGCAAGUCGAACGAGGGGCGGACGGGUGAGUAAUGUGUGGGAAACUGGCUUAUGGCGGGGGAUAACUACGGGAAACAGUGGCUAUUACCGCGUACCAUAGGGUGAGCCGAUGUGGGAUUAGGUAGUUGGUGAGGUCAAGGCUCACCAAGCCGACGAUCUCUAGCUGGUCUGAGAGCAUGACAAGCCACACUGGGACGUAGACACGGCCCGGACUCCUACGGGAGGCCGCAGUGGGGAAUAUUGCGCAAUGGGGGCAACCUGACGCAGCCAUGCCGCGUGAUUGAAGAAGGCCUUCGGGUUUUAAAGUUCUUUCGGUAGCGAGGCGUUAACUACAGAAGAAGCACCGGCUAACUACGUGCCAGCAGCCGCGGUAAUAC
rnacentral:rRNA from 1 species